GAUGAACGCUGGCGGCGUGCUUAACACAUGCAAGUCGAACGGAAAGGCCCUGCUUUUGUGGGGUUCUCGAGUGGCGAACGGGUGAGUAACACGUGUGUAACCUGCCCUUGACUUUGGGAUAACUUCAGGAAACUGGGGCUAAUACCGGAUAGGAGCUCCUGCUGCAUGGUGGGGGUUGGAAAGUUUCGGCGGUUGGGGAUGGACUCGCGGCUUAUCAGCUUGUUGGUGGGGUAGUGGCUUACCAAGGCUUUGACGGGUAGCCGGCCUGAGAGCGUGACCGGGCACAUGGGGACUAAGAGACGGCCCAGACGCGUACGGGAGGCAACAGGGGGGAGUAUUGCACAAUGGGCGGGAGCCUGAGGCAGCAGCGCCGCGUGCGGGAUGACGGCUUUUGGGUUGUAAACCGCUUUCGACUGAGACGAAGCGUGAGUGACGGUAAUGGGUAAAGAAGCACCGGCUAACUACGUG
rnacentral:rRNA from 1 species